UACGGGAGGCAGCAGUGGGGAAUAUUGCACAAUGGGCGCAAGCCUGAUGCAGCCAUGCCGCGUGUAUGAAGAAGGCCUUCGGGUUGUAAAGUACUUUCAGUCGUGAGGAAGGUGUUAAGGUUAAUAACCUUAGCAAUUGACGUUAGCGACAGAAGAAGCACCGGCUAACUCCGUGCCAACAGCCGCGGUAAUACGGAGGGUGCGAGCGUUAAUCGGAAUUACUGGGCGUAAAGGGCACGCAGGCGGUUAAUUAAGUUGGAUGUGAAAUCCCCGGGCUUAACCUGGGAAUGGCAUUCAAGACUGGUUAGCUAGAGUCUUGUAGAGGGGGUAGAAUUCCAUGUGUAGCGGUGAAAUGCGUAGAGAUGUGGAGGAAUACCGGUGGCGAAGGCGGCCCCUGGACAAAGACUGACGCUCAUGUGCGAAAGCGUGGGGAGCAAACAGGGAUUAGAUACC
rnacentral:rRNA from 1 species